UGCAUUAACUACUGUAAGUCGCUCUGGAAAAGAGUGUCUGCUAAAUGACUAAAA
rfam:Salmo salar isolate Sally breed double haploid chromosome ssa04, whole genome shotgun sequence.